CCUACGGGAGGCAGCAGUGGGGAAUAUUGCACAAUGGGGGAAACCCUGAUGCAGCGACGCCGCGUGAGUGAAGAAGUAUUUCGGUAUGUAAAGCUCUAUCAGCAGGGAAGAAAAUGACGGUACCUGAUUAAGAAGCCCCUGCUAACUACGUGCCAGCAGCCGCGGGAAUACGGAGGGGGCGAGCGUUAUCCGGAAUUACUGGGUGAAAAGGGAGCGUAGACGGCGAGGUAAGCCUGAAGUGAAAGCCCGCGGCCCAACCUCGGAACUGCUUUGGGAACUGUUUUGCUGGAGUAUGGGAGGGGUAAGCAGAAUUCCUGGUGUAGCGGUGAAAUGCGUAGAUAUCAGGAGGAACACCGGUGGCGAAGGCGGCUUACUGGACCAAAACUGACGUUGAGGCGCGAAAGCGUGGGGAGCGAACAGGAUUAGAUACCCUGGUAGUC
rnacentral:rRNA from 1 species